AAACACAACGCGCACACACGUUCAGAAAAGGAAGAAAACGAGAAACAGGGGGAGCUCGAGGGGGAAGAAGAAGGGAAGGAGAGGGAGAAGAGCGUGCCGACGUCGCGCCCAGCUCGUCGCCGUGAAGCUGUCGCCGCUCUCAUCACGGGCCGUCGCUCGUUGUCGCUGCUGGGUUCUUCGUCAGCGCUUGAGGGUGAAAGACGCGCGUGAGAGAGGGAGGAGCCGCGCUGCUGCCGUUGUCCAUCCCGCCUCGCCACCUCUUCUUAACUCUCUUCUCCGGUCGUCCUCUUCUUCUCUUCUCAGGUUUUGGUAGAGCAAAAGUCGUCUACAAGGGUUAUCAUACUGAACGGGACAAGACAAUUGAAUGCCCUCUCUUUUUAUAUGAAUGGGGAUUCCAGCCAUGCUUUGAGGAUCUUUGACGAGGAGGCACAAGCUAUGCAAUCGGUUAGAAACUCAAGGCUUGAGCUGCAGAAUUCUACUGCACUUGUGGAAACCAUCCUUUCAUCAAUACAUGGGCAAAGGGAACGCUUGAAGAGUGCUCAUAGGAAAGCAUUGGAUAUGCUGAACACAUUGGGGAUGCCAAAUUUUGUUUUGAGGCUAGUUGAGCGAUGUGCUAAGCACAGUGGGGAUGAUAUGAAGAAAACAUUUUUCAUAGUAAUAUGAGAUGAGAUGGGUCUCAUAUAUAUAUAUAUAUAUAUAUUGAUGUGUUAUGUAUUUUACAUGAAAUGAAUAAAUUACACUGUAUUUUUAUUUGUG